CUCGUAGUUGGAUUUCGGGUGGGUUUCAGCGGUCCGCCUAUGGUGAGUACUGCUGUGGCCUAUCUUACUGUCGGGGACCUGCUUCUGGGCUUCAUUGUCCGGGACAGGGAUUCGGCAUGGUUACUUUGAGUAAAUUAGAGUGUUCAAAGCAGGCUUACGCCGUGAAUACUUUAGCAUGGAAUAACACUAUAGGACUCUGCCCUAUUGUGUUGGCCUGUAGGAGUGGAGUAAUGAUUAAGAGGAACAGUCGGGGGCAUUCGUAUUUCAUUGUCAGAGGUGAAAUUCUUGGAUUUAUGAAAGACGAACUACUGCGAAAGCAUUUGCCAAGGAUGUUUUCAUUAAUCAAGAACGAAAGUUGGGGGCUCGAAGACGAUUAGAUNNNNUUCGUAGUCA
rnacentral:rRNA from 1 species